rnacentral:lncRNA from 1 species
AUGGAAAGACUGGGGACAGAGAGGGGACCUGGGGCUGGCCCUGCCCCACCUGGCCUGCUCAUGUUUUCACCCUCUGGCCCUGUGGCACUCCCCACCCCCUGGCAAGAUAUGCAGCCUGUGCCAGCCGUGGGGAGAAGCCACAGGUCCAGCCUGGGCAGGGGCAGGGUGCUUGAAGCCCGGGGCAGGUGCAGGCUGGAUUGGGUUUCCAGAGGCUAUAUAUAUGGAUAUAAAGGCUGCCUGGAGCCCUGGGGCUGGCCGCUCCCUCAGGGUGCAACACUGUGGGGCCCAGCCAGGCCUGCAUUCCUGCCCAGAGGCCGGCUCUCCAUUUAUAGCCCCGGGCAGGCAGGCCUCGGAGCUGAGGACAGAGGACUGGAAAGGGUGGAAGAGAAGGGAGCCCCCUUCCCACCUGCUGCGCAAGGAGCUCCUGACUGUGAAGCCUGGAGGCCGAGGCCUGGCCCAGCACCAGGAUUAAAAGGCAUCAGGUCCCAGGAUGGACACACCUCUCCCCGCUCUUUCCGCAACAGAGACAGGAAGGUGGUAUUGGCAAACUUCUCCCAAAGACGUGGUGGCUCACCCAGGAGAGCAGCCCCGGGCAGGCGGGGUCCCAGGCCUGGAGAGGUCUGUAGAGGUUGGCAGGACCAGGGAUUCCCAAACGCGUCAAGCAGCAGAAGCCUCAUAGAAGAUCAAAGUCCGCUUGGAAGUCUCGUGCGGAAGUGGCAUUGUACCACCAGACCGUGUGUGCGUUUAAAAACAGUGCUUCCCAAUUACCGCAGAAGAUGAACUACGAGGCAGGUUUAAAACUGUCAAAGCAGUUUAGAUUUCUAAGCCACAAGUGAUAAAAUAUUUAAAUGUGUUUGGUAAGUUCGAACAUAGAACAUUUACUUGUUGUAAAGGCACCGUGAUGACAGCCCUGAGGCGGCUUUUAUGAACACAAACACAAAAAGCAAAGUUGUAAUCAUUUAAGUCUCAGCAUCCAAUUUAUUUCUGUGUUACCUUUGCUUGCUCAGGUUUGAGAAGAAUCUGGGUUUGCAAGGAUAAGUGGCUUAAAGAGCUCACCUGGAAAUCUCAGGGUACUCUUAGAUUCAAGAAUUUGAUUCAUUCAUCCACCCAACAAAUAGUUAUUGAGUGUCUAGUAGGUGUCAGGCAUUCUGCUGAGGUUUGAACAAUAAGGAGGACUAUUUGUUUCAGUCUAAGUUACUAAGAUAACAAUUAUUCCCUUCGUCAUUGUGAGUGUAAGUCAAAUGAAAAGAUUCAAGCUUAUAAUAAGCACCACUUCUCUCUGUAGUAUCCUAUUAUGAUAUUGCAACAGGCGUGUGCAACUGCUUAACAGAGAGGCUCAUGCCCUGGGCAGUUGGGCCUGGGUCUUGCCUGGGAAGAGCAAGGGUGACCAGCAUGUGUGUCUAAUCAUAUAUGUGACUGUCCAGUUUAGAAGAAAUACAAUCAUCCUCAUUAAUGACAUAUUUCAAGAAGUUCAAAUAUAUAGAGACAGAGUCAAAGGCAUGAGGCCACCCAUUUGUUCAUCUGACAUUUCUCAAGUUCUUACUAUGUGACAGUUGCUGUGAUGUUUUCUGGAAAUGCCAUGGUGGACAACACGUCCCUGCCUUCAUGGGGCCACAUCAAUCAAUGAACGAACUAAUAAAGAAGAUCAUUAAAGAGUGGCUGUGCCA